rnacentral:rRNA from 1 species
AUUGAACGCUGGCGGCAUGCUUUACACAUGCAAGUCGAACGGUAACAGGGUGCUUGCACCGCUGACGAGUGGCGAACGGGUGAGUAAUGCGUCGGAACGUGCCGAGUAGUGGGGGAUAACGCAGCGAAAGUUGUGCUAAUACCGCAUACGUACUGAGGUAGAAAGUGGGGGACCUUCGGGCCUCACGCUAUUCGAGCGGCCGACGUCUGAUUAGCUAGUAGGUGAGGUAAAGGCUCACCUAGGCGACGAUCAGUAGCGGGUCUGAGAGGAUGAUCCGCCACACUGGGACUGAGACACGGCCCAGACUCCGACGGGAGGCAGCAGUGGGGAAUUUUGGACAAUGGGCGAAAGCCUGAUCCAGCCAUGCCGCGUGUCUGAAGAAGGCCUUCGGGUUGUAAAGGACUUUUGUCAGGGAGGAAAUCCCUAGUGCUAAUAACACUGGGGGAUGACAGUACCUGAAGAAUAAGCACCGGCUAACUACGUGCCAGCAGCCGCCGAAC